CCACAGGUCCAGACAUGAAGCCCACCCUCAUCUCAGUGCUUGUGAUAAUAUUUAUACCCAGAGGAACAAGAGCCCAGAGAGUGACUCAGCCCGAGAAGCUCCUCUCUGUCUUUAAAGGGGCCCCAGUGGAGCUGAAGUGCAACUAUUCAUACUCUGGGAGUCCUGAACUCUUCUGGUAUGUCCAGUACCCCAGACAACGCCUCCAGUUACUCUUGAGACACAUCUCUAGAGAGAGCAUCAAAGGCUUCACUGCUGACCUUAACAAAGGCGAGACAUCUUUCCAUCUGAAGAAACCAUUUGCUCAAGAGGAAGACUCAGCCAUGUACUACUGUGCUCUAAGUGGCACAGUAGCUGGUUUUGCAAGGAAGCAGAACACAAACCCUUUAAAUACAGGAAAUAUUUCUUUGUAA